UGAAAAAAAGAAGAAAAACAAGCAUGUAGUCUCGGAGCCUCUCAAACUGCUAAGCAGUAGUGGGCAGUUUUCUCCCCCAAAGAUUUCCACGAUCUGAGUUUGGUGGGAAGGUUCAACACUAACCACCUGCAUACCACCAAUAUUUAGAGAUGAGUAAUCGGAAGGAGGCUAAUUUUGGUUUUCAGGAGUUCGCUGUGUGGUUUCAGUUCAUUCUAAACGAAAAAGGAUCGACAAACUCAGUGACAGAAAUUAGUAAAAGAUUUGAGCUUUCGGAACAAUUAUAUGUGCAAAAAUCGAAAACUUUCAUCGGGAUAUGAUUUCGGCUGCAGUUUAGGUUCUUGGAUUGAUUCCACAUUUCAAAUCCACUUCUGACCUACUAACCUUGAUGGAGGGGAGGGGCAGAGGAUGAAGAAAAUUUCGGGCAAAGAGCUUUGACUUCCUGAUUCACUGCGGCAACAACAUACCACCAUCCUCCUUUCGUUCCCAUGUCACCAGAAGCAACAAGAAGAUAUAAAACAAAAUUGGUGUUUUGAAAUUCUGAUUAAUUUUGCUCAAACUGAUUGGUUGCUGACCCAUUAAGGUACCUUAAUAAUUCGCCCCUGUUCUUUGAACAGCCUGUCAUUUUUCUUCAUGGGGUUCUGGAGGAGUAACUUCACCAAGUUUUCAAAGUAAUCAAAGAUUCUUCAAUCCCGAGUUGUACCGAUCAUUCUGUUUGAUCAGGUUGCAGUAUGUUCACCCUUUAUGAUAAGUUAUUAUAUAAAGCUCAAUUUGUUUAUGUUUUGGUAAUUUUGUAGUAGAAAUGCCAGAAAUCGAUAAUGUACUUAGUUCCGUUCCGUUUCCGGGAAUUAGUUUCGAUAGUUUGAAUGUGUAAGUCGAGUGAAUUAAGGUUGUUGUAAUCUAUUUGUGAGUUUAAGUGAUUCCCCUCAUUUGGUUUUCAUUUUAGUUCGGCUUUAUAGUAAAUGCAAUUCCAGUUCCUAAAGCUCAAAGAGAAGGUCGACAAAUGUACGUUUACAGCUAUAUGUCGUGUUCCUUUUGAGUAUGUGAUUGGGCUUUUGUCUUUCUUCCAUUUGAAUCAUCAGUUUUCCUUUCAAUUUUCACGGAAUUUUUUUUUUGACAUGUAAUGGAAGUUUGUAGGGUUUAUGCGAUUUAUAGUGAUGUAAAUAAAGUUGUUGCGAAGAAGACCUCCCUUACUCUCUGAAACCGUAAACGGAACGAAACGUCAUUACGAUUCUCAUACGACUGGGAUCAUGAAUAUUAUAGAUGGACCCAAUGGAUCUUCCUUCAGCGAUUAAAGAGGGGAUUGGCGUAUCAGGCUGAAGUGCCAGUUAAUUGGUGCCCGCUUUUGGUACUGUAUUGGCAAAUGAAGAAGUGAUAAGAUGGUUUCAGUGACCGUGGGGAUCAGAAAGGUAUUGGAUUGAUUUUGGCAAGUGUAAUUUUUUGUUAACAUUGAUUAGAUUCGGACCUUUGUGUCAAUUGAAGUCAUUGCUGCUCGGUUAGCUGAGACCCAUUUGUCGAGGCACGAACAAAAAGGAAGGGGGGAAACUGUAUUAUUGUCAUAGCUUUUAUGUUGGCAGUGAGCCUUGAAGAAAAGGAAGGGUGAUAACAGUGGAAGAGGUGGCUUUUUGCUUUUGGCCUUUUGUUUUCUUCAUUUUGCUGAAUGUUGAGACUUGAGAAAAGAACUUCUAAUGUUGAAACCUAAUUCAAUGUGAAAACGUACCUAAUCAUGUUAGCAUAUAAAUUUGAUUGUUAUUUUGUUCAA